CCCUUAGGUGUUCUGGGCCGCACGCGCGCUACACUGAUGCAUUCAACGAGCCUAUCCUUGACCGACAGGUCCGGGUAAUCUUUGAAUCUGCAUCGUGACGGGGAUAGAUUAUUGCAAUUAUUAAUCUUCAACGAGGAAUGCCUAGUAGGCGCAAGUCAUCAGCUUGCGUCGAUUACGUCCCUGCCCUUUGUACACACCGCCCGUCGCUCCUACCGAUUGGGUGUGCUGGUGAAAUGUUCGGAUCGGCCGUUUGUCGCGGUUUCCGCGUCAUGUGGCUGAGAAGUUCAUUAAACCCUCCCACCUAGAGGAAGGAGAAGUCGUAACA
rnacentral:rRNA from 1 species